AACGAACGCUGGCGGCAGGCUUAACACAUGCAAGUCGAACGCAUCGCAAGAUGAGUGGCAGACGGGUGAGUAACGCGUGGGAACAUACCCUUUUCUACGGAAUAGCUCUGGGAAACUGGAAUUAAUACCGUAUACGCCCUACGGGGGACAGACUUAUCGGGGAAGGAUUGGCCCGCGUUGGAUUAGCUAGUUGGUGGGGUAAAGGCCUACCAAGGCGACGAUCCAUAGCUGGUCUGAGGGGAUGAUCAGCCACAUUGGGACUGAGACACGGCCCAAACUCCUACGGGAGGCAGCAGUGGGGAAUAUUGGACAAUGGGCGCAAGCCUGAUCCAGCCAUGCCGCGUGAGUGAUGAAGGCCUUAGGGUUGUAAAGCUCUUUCACCGAUGGGGAUAAUGACGGUAGUCGGAGAAGAAGCCCCGGCUAACUUCGUGCCAGCCGCCGCCGUAAGAC
rnacentral:rRNA from 1 species